CUACGGAGGGUGCAAGCGUUACUCGGAAUCACUGGGCGUAAAGCGCGCGCAGGCGGGCUGAUAAGUUGGAUGUGAAAGCCUACGGCUCAACCGUAGAACUGCAUCCAAAACUGUCAGUCUCGAGUCUGGGAGGGGAAGAUGGAAUUAGUUGUGUAGGGGUAAAAUCCGUAGAGAUAACUAGGAAUACCAAAAGCGAAGGCGAUCUUCUGGAACAGUACUGACGCUGAGGCGCGAAAGCGUGGGGAGCAAACAGGAUUAGAAACCCUAGUAGUCC
rnacentral:rRNA from 1 species